rnacentral:rRNA from 1 species
GAUGAACGCUGGCGGCGUGCCUAAUACAUGCAAGUCGAGCGAGCGGACGAGAAGGUUGCUUCUCUGAUGUUAGCGGGGGACGGGAGAGUAACGCGUGGUGACCCUACCUAUAAGACUGGGGUAACUUCGGGAAACCGGAGCUAAUACUGGAUGUAAUUUUAAACCUCUUGGUGAAAACGUGAAAGACUGUAUUUGUGCCUGCAUUUGAUGAGCUCGCGGGUCGUUAACUAGAUGGCAAGGUAACGGCUUACCAAGGGGACGAUGCAGAGGCGGCCUGAGAGGGCGAUCGGCCACACUGGAACUGAGACACGGUCCAGACUCCUGCGGGAGGCAGCGGUAGGGAACCUUCCGCAGGGGGCGGAAGCCUAAUGUAGCAACGCCGCGUAAGUGAUGAAGGUCUUCGCACCGUAAAACUCUGUUAUUAGGGAAGAACAUAUUUGUAAGUGACUGUGCACAUCUUGACGGUACCUAAUCAGAAAGCCCCGGCUAACUACGUG